AACAUCUCAUUCUCAAGUAUCUCUGUUGCUCUCUUUCUUCCUGCACUCUUUUUUCUAUGAGCCACCACCACCAUCACAGUGUUGCCAUCUUCACCACCGCCUAACCACCAUCUCCGGUCGCUUCCUCAAAUCCGGCGACCACCAAGCUCCACCUCACCGAUAACUACAAGAACCCCUUCGUUUAAAUCUGUACAAUCACAUUUGAAUUAGAUCCGAUAACCACAAGAACCCCUUUCGUUUAAAUCAGAUCUGAAUCAGACCUGUGAGAGAGAGUGUGGUGGUGAUCAGAGGUUGGGAGAAGAUGCGGUGGUGGGGUUGUUGUAGAUUCGGUGGCGGGGGUGGUUGUAGAUUGACUGGUGGUGGGGGUCGGAAUGAGCGGUGUGACUUUUAUACGGCGGGGGUGGUGGCUGAAGAUCCGGCAGGGGUGUGGGGUAGAUGGCGGUGGUGGUGUUCGACUAGUGGAUGGAUAAAGAUAUCGAUGAUGUUGAUAAACGUGUCGAGUGGCUCCAUUCUGAACGGUAUUCUUCUGCUGCUGGUAACAUUUUUGGAGAGCCACAGAAGACCACGCGGGUCGGGGAUGAGUACUAGGCACAAAUCCCAGAUUUAAUAACAGAAAACGAGCGAUUCCAGCUCAUAAAUGCAAAGGGUGAGUUUUGUGCUGUAGGUUACAGAGAACAAGUUUGAAACAAUUUUCAUUUUUUAUUCACAUUGAUGAUUCUCAAUUAAUUAACACUGAUGUUAAUGUUGGAAUCUUGACUCCGAAUUUCACACUGUCGAUUGCAAUAAGUUUUGGCUUUGAUUUGAUAAAGUUUUGUUCC